rnacentral:lncRNA from 1 species
UGGCAGCCUGUGGGGGAACAAGGACACACUUCUGCAACUUGUGAACAUUUCCUCAGGACAUCAGCAAUGCUAAGGGGGGACAUGAUGGUGACAGGCUGCAGGGCAUCCUGAGGGUGCAGGAGCCACUGUCUCAGCUGUCUGCUGUUUGCUGGCACCUGUCUUCACCCCCAGUGACCACUCACAGGCUCAUCCACCACAACUUCCAAGAUAGCAGUGUCCCCACCCUGACGCCCUUUCAACAAAUCAGUAAAUUACCUAAAACACCACCACCUAAAGAUCAAGUAAGAGUCCACCUGCAGGGGCCGGACUGGAGCUCACGGACUCUGAGUCACAUGGAGGAAGCUGUGUGUUAAUAUAAAAGCACAGCCAGCAGGAGUGAGGCGGCCCUGUGUGCCGUCCAUCUGGAGGCAAUGUUGGGAUGAACAAACUUGAGAAAUGAGCCAAGCUCUGAGAGCCCAUACAGAACUGGACGAUGUCAGAUACUCGAACUUAACUGGCACAUCAGUGAGUGUGGAGCGGCGCCUGGGACCUCAGCUCCGCUUGGGACAUAAACCAAGCACAAUUAGCAGACUGGGACAUUAGGAAAAUGAGAAUCAGGAAAAGAGAGAAGGGGAGAGGAAGAGGAAGAUGUACGCUCCUUCACACGCAGGAAGGAAGUACACACACGCACAACUUUUGGUAACAAGCGAGAAGGAAACCUUAAAGCACUUAAAGUGGCUGAAGACUAAAUAACACGUCAGGAAGAGGUUGCAGCUCACGCCAAGAGGCAGGCAGGAAAGGCCUCACCCAGCAGCUGACGUUUGAGUUAAGACCUGAGGGAGGUGAGAGAUCCAGCCACCGGCUCAGCUCUGUGCCUGCGGCAGCGUUCCAGGCAUGAAAACAGCAGGUGCACA